AGCCCCCAACCUGGGUUAGUGGAAAGGUGGUGGGCUGCAGAACAUGUGCUUCCUUCGUGUCAUAUGUCUGCUGACCAUCACCUUUAGAAGCCCCCCUCUCGCUG
rnacentral:pre_miRNA from 8 species